rnacentral:miRNA from 1 species
CAAGUGCUUCAAUGUUUUGGUGA